UGUGGCAUAUGAGCGGCAGGUCUGAAAAAGCAGGUGUGUGCUGGGACGGGCACUGGACUGGAACGCAGGCGGACGCUCUCGGGUUUACCUGCUUCCUGUUAACAGACUGUGGGCUCCCAGGGCGUAUGUCUGCACGCUGAGGCCGAGGCGGAGAAGGGGCUUCCUGAGCGUCCAGUACACUGACAGAGACACUUGGAUUGGACUUAAUCUUAAACCUCUGGAGUUCAAGACCUUUUAAAAGGGCUAAAUAAACAAUCUCUACAUGUAAAAGGCCACUGACUCCUACUUCCUCUGUAUAGAGCAACUGUUGAACUCAGCUGCCUGUAGAUAGCGGUGGGUGUGCUCGCAAACGUGCCGCCAUGUCUGUUACGCUAACAUCUGUGAAGAGAGUGCAAAGUUCUCCAAACCUAUUGGCUGCAGGGCGUGAUUCUCAGUCACCAGACUCAGCUUGGAGAUCUUACAAUGAUGGCAAUCAGGAGACACUGAACGGAGAUGCUACAUAUUCCUCUCUUGCAGCAAAAGGUUUUAGAAACGUUCGACCAAACCUACAAGAUAAAAGAUCACC
rnacentral:sRNA from 1 species